GUUAAUGUAGCUUAAAUAAAGCAAAGCACUGAAAAUGCUUAGAUGAGUAUUUAUACUCCAUAAACA
rnacentral:tRNA from 3 species